rnacentral:rRNA from 1 species
ACGUAGGGGGCAAGCGUUAUCCGGAAUUAUUGGGCGUAAAGAGUACGUAGGUGGUUACCUAAGCACGAGGUAUAAGGCAAUGGCUCAACCAUUGUUCGCCUUGUGAACUGGGCUGCUUGAGUGCAGGAGAGGAAAGCGGAAUUCCUAGUGUAGCGGUGAAAUGCGUAGAUAUUAGGAGGAACACCAGUGGCGAAGGCGGCUUUCUGGACUGUAACUGACACUGAGGUACGAAAGCGUGGGGAGCAAACAG